GAACGCUGGCGGCAGGCCUAACACAUGCAAGUCGAACGGUAGCACAGAGAGCUUGCUCUCGGGUGACGAGUGGCGGACGGGUGAGUAAUGUCUGGGAAACUGCCUGAUGGAGGGGGAUAACUACUGGAAACGGUAGCUAAUACCGCAUAACGUCGCAAGACCAAAGAGGGGGACCUUCGGGCCUCUUGCCAUCAGAUGUGCCCAGAUGGGAUUAGCUAGUAGGUGGGGUAACGGCUCACCUAGGCGACGAUCCCUAGCUGGUCUGAGAGGAUGACCCAGCCACACUGGAACUGAGACACGGUCCAGACUCCUACGGGAGGCAGCAGUGGGGAAUAUUGCACAAUGGGCGCAAGCCUGAUGCAGCCAUGCCGCGUGUAUGAAGAAGGCCUUCGGGUUGUAAAGUACUUUCAGCGGGGAGGAAGGUGUUGUGGUUAAUAACCACAGCAAUUGACGUUACCCGCAGAAGAAGCACCGGCUAACUCCGUGCCAGCCGCUGC
rnacentral:rRNA from 1 species